rnacentral:sRNA from 1 species
AAGAAUCCGAUCAACACCGCUAGCAGC